rnacentral:rRNA from 1 species
AGUGAACGCUGGCGGUAGGCCUAACACAUGCAAGUCGAACGGCAGCACAGUAAGAGCUUGCUCUUACGGGUGGCGAGUGGCGGACGGGUGAGGAAUACAUCGGAAUCUACUUUUUCGUGGGGGAUAACGUAGGGAAACUUACGCUAAUACCGCAUACGACCUACGGGUGAAAGCAGGGGAUCUACGGACCUUGCGCGAUUGAAUGAGCCGAGGUCGGAUUAGCUAGUUGGCGGGGUAAAGGCACACCAAGGCGACGAUCCGUAGCUGGUCUGAGAGGAUGAUCAGCCACACUGGAACUGAGACACGGUCCAGACUCCUACGGGAGGCAGCAGUGGGGAAUAUUGGACAAUGGGCGCAAGCCUGAUCCAGCCAUACCGCGUGGGUGAAGAAGGCCUUCGGGUUGUAAAGCCCUUUUGUUGGGAAAGAAAAGCAGCAGGUGAAUACCCCGCUGUUCUGACGGUACCCAAAGAAUAAGCACCGGCUAACUUCGUG